GCUCGGUUGGUCUAGCGGUAUGAUUCUCGCUUAGGGUUCACUCUAAGUAAUUUGCGAGAGGUCCCCGGUUCAAUCCCGGGAUCGAGCC